rnacentral:lncRNA from 1 species
CAAACGGCCGAAAAACCCAGCCGAAGUCCAGCGCCGCCGCCGUGACUCCUCUCUAUUUUUGCCUCCGUGAGGCCCUUCCCGGCCUCCGUUCGAUGCAAAUUUUAUACCACUGUGAUCACCGUUCUUUUCUCUACAGGUUGAUCAGAGCCAAACAUCAAAACGCGACUCACGUCGGAGGAGCCGCCGCACCCGAGGGCACCGCCGCCAGUAAGUCUCAGUUUUUCAUGAUUUUUUGCUCCCCCAAGGGCCCUUGAAUUGUUUUAUCGCAGGGACCGAUGCAAGUUUGGCCGAAUUUGGCCGAAUACAGCCAACCCGAGGCAGAUCGCCGCCUUUUGAAUUGUUCAAAAGAUUCUUUAGUGAAGUUGAGAAAUAGACUGAAAAAAGCAUUAAAGUGCUAAAGUCUUAUAGAGGAGGAGAAUAUCUUAGUGAUGAUUUUACUAGAUAUCUUAAAGAGAU